ACCUCCCACCCGUGUUUAUUUUACCUUGUUGCUUCGGCGGGCCCGCCUUAACUGGCCGCCGGGGGGCUUACGCCCCCGGGCCCGCGCCCGCCGAAGACACCCUCGAACUCUGUCUGAAGAUUGUAGUCUGAGUGAAAAUAUAAAUUAUUCAAAACUUUCAACAACGGAUCUCUUGGUUCCGGCAUCGAUGAAGAACGCAGCGAAAUGCGAUACGUAAUGUGAAUUGCAAAUUCAGUGAAUCAUCGAGUCUUUGAACGCACAUUGCGCCCCCUGGUAUUCCGGGGGGCAUGCCUGUCCGAGCGUCAUUGCUGCCCUCAAGCACGGCUUGUGUGUUGGGCCCCGUCCUCCGAUCCCGGGGGACGGGCCCGAAAGGCAGCGGCGGCACCGCGUCCGGUCCUCGAGCGUAUGGGGCUUUGUCACCCGCUCUGUAGGCCCGGCCGGCGCUUGCCGAUCAACCCAAAUUUUUAUCCAGGUUGACCUCGGAUCAGGUAGGGAUACCCGCUGAACUUAAGCAUAUC
rnacentral:rRNA from 1 species